GGAGUCCGUGUGUCGUAGGAGUUCGUCCGAAAUCUGUCCGCUACAGAAGUUUGGUCGGAGUCCGGUCUCUAUAGAAGUCCGGAUGGGGAUCAUUUGUUGAGGAAGCUCGGUCGAAGCCUGCCUGCAAUAGAAGUUCGGAAGGAGUUCGCUCACAAUAGAAGCUUAGGUGGAGGCUUACAGUAGAAAUCCAACGUGGACCGCUCGUAGUUGAAAUUCGGAGC
rnacentral:lncRNA from 1 species